rnacentral:rRNA from 1 species
GAUGAACGCUGGCGGCGUGCCUAAUACAUGCAAGUCGAGCGAACAGAUGAGGAGCUUGCUCCUCUGACGUUAGCGGCGGACGGGUGAGUAACACGUGGAUAACCUACCUAUAAGACUGGGAUAACUUCGGGAAACCGGAGCUAAUACCGGAUAAUAUAUUGAACCGCAUGGUUCAAUAGUGAAAGACGGUUUUGCUGUCACUUAUAGAUGGAUCCGCGCCGCAUUAGCUAGUUGGUAAGGUAACGGCUUACCAAGGCAACGAUGCGUAGCCGACCUGAGAGGGUGAUCGGCCACAAUGGAACUGAGACAAGGGCCAGACUCCUAAGGGAGGCAGCAGUAGGGAAUAUUCCGCAAUGGGCGAAAGCCUGAACGAGCAAAGCCGCGUGAGGGAAGAAGGUCUUCGGAUUGUAAAACCCUUUUAUUAGGGAAGAACAAAUGUGUAAGUAACUAUGCACGUCUUGACGGUACCUAAUCAGAAAGCCACGGCUAACUACGUG